CAGCCGUAAACUAUGCGCGUUAGGUGUACUGGUGACCACGAGUCACCGGGGUGCCGAAGGGAAACCGUGAAACGUGCCGCCUGGGAAGUACGGUCGCAAGGCUGAACCUUAAAGGAAUUGGCGGGGGAGCACCACAACGGGUGGAGCCUGCGGUUUAAUUGGACUCAACGCCGGAAAUCUCACCGGAUAGGACAGACAUAUGAUAGUCGGGCUGAAGACUCUACUUGAUGAUCUGAGAGGAGGUGCAUGGCGUCAGUGACU
rnacentral:rRNA from 1 species